GUGGGCGCGGGGAGGAGGAAAUGAGGAUGAGGGGAUGGGCACGUGGGGAUGGAGAGGAGGGGAUGAGGGUGCAGGAAUGGGGGUGCUGUGCCAUAAUCCCUGCGGCUGACAGAGAGAUUUGUUGUGUCUUCGGCAAGUUCAGAGGAGAGGAAACAAAGCCCUGCACUCCGAGCAGCUCCUUGCAGAGGGUCCUCGCUCUGCGCCUGCCUGGAGGAGAAAGUGCCUCUGGAACCUGCGUUAGCACCGUCUGGGGGGGCUGCAGCAAACGCCUCCACUGCCAGGAUUAGUGUGGGGUAAUGCUUCAUCCCAACUGCUGAACUCCCUGUGCUGAAAGGGGGGAUCCACUGCAGCCCCAGUCCCGGUGCAGGCUGGCCUGGCUUGGAGAACUGGGAUCUUCUGGUGCACUGCAGGCUGGGGGCUGGGGGGCUGUGCUGGAGGGGUGGAGAAGAGUCUCUGAGCUCUGAGUAUUUCAUAGGAUCAGAGAAUCAUGCAAUAGUUUGGCUGGGAAGGGUCCUAAAAGACCAUCCAGUUUCAACCCUCCCCGCGGCGGGGGCAGGGACACCUUCCACUGGAGCAUCCCCCGGCGCGGCAGGGCCCUUCCUGCGGGGGGAGGUCUGGGGUCGCCGCUGGGCGAGGGGACCCGGGAGCGGAGCGGGGCGGAGGAAGGAUCCCAGCCCGGCCCCUUCCAUCCCCCGCCGCUCCCGGCCCCGCUCGGAGCCGGGAAAAUCCCAAAUCCCACCGAUCCCGCACAGCGAUCGCAACUUUCCCACGCCCGGGAAGCGGCUGCGGGCCCAGCCGGAGCCCGGCCCGGGGGGGGCACAGGGGGGUCCCGUCCCGUCCGCGUCCCCCCCGCCCGACCCCGCCGCGCUCCGCCCCCCGCGGGGCCGGGGCGGGACCCGGUGCCGGGCGGAACCCGCCGCCCCCCCGCCCGCGCCCAGACGUCCCGGCGGCGGCGAGCAGGGAGCCGGAAUCUCAGCGCCCCGCCGGCUCCUGCCGCUCCAUGGCCCCGGCCGCAGCGGCGGAGCCCAGCGCCCGCCGCCCCCGGGGCACCGGUCCCGGCGGGAGGAGCAUGGCUCGGCGGCCGCCGGAA
rnacentral:lncRNA from 13 species